rnacentral:lncRNA from 1 species
CAGGUAUUGUAGACAUUUCCUCAUUUCCAUCUCGAAGCAUCUUAACCUUAAGUUUCCUGUUUAUUGAAAAAAUUCCAUUAUCGGCUCGCCCUUCAUCGAAACAAAAUUCUAUGGAUCGAUCUAGCAAUGAUGGAAUGUAUAUUUUGUUUACUGAAUCACAUAAAAUUUUAGGCAAUUCCAUUCCAUACAUAUUUAUGUAUUUCAUACCUACAAA